GGACCCCGUUAUCUAAUUGGUUCAUAUUGAGGUCAAAAGGGUCCAAAAUUAAACUUUGUUUGAUUUCAUCUAAAAUUGAAUUAUUGGGGUUCUUUGAUAUUCCAAAUCUAACCGUGUAUUUAGGUUUUUAAUUUUGGGUCCUGUUUUUUAGAUUGGUCUACAUUGAGGUCCAAAGGGUCCAAAAUUAAACUUAGUUUGAUUUUGACAAAAAUUGAAUUCUUGGGGUUCUUUGAUUUGCUGAAUCUAAACAUGUGUUUAGAUUUUUGAUUAUGGGCCCAGUUUUCAAGUUGGUCCAAGAUAGGGUCCAGUAUUUAAACUUUGUUUGAUUUCAACAAAAAUUGAAUAUAUGGGGUUCUUUGAUAUGCUGAAUCUAAACAUGUAUUUAGAUUUUUGAUUAUGGGCCAAGUUUUCAAGUUAGUCCAAAUUGGGGUCCAAAAUUAAACUUUGUUUGAUUUCAACAAAAAUUGAAUAUAUGAGGUUCUUUGAUAUGCUGAAUCUAACCAUGUAUUUAGAUUUUUUAUUUGUAGGCCCCGCUAUCAAAUUGGUUCAUAUUGAGGUCAAAAGGGUCCAAAAUUAAACUUUGUUUGAUUUCAUCGAAAAUUGAAUUAUUGGGGUUCUUUGAUAUGCCAAAUCUAACCGUGUUUUUAGAUUUUUAAUUUGGGUCCCGUUUUUUAAAUUGGUCUUCAUUGAGGUCCAAAGGGUCCAAAAUUAAACUUAGUUUGAUUUUAACAAAAAUUGAAUUCUUGGGGUUCUUUGAUAUGCUGAAUCUAAACAUGUAUUUAGAUUUUUGAUUAUGGGCCCAGUUUUCAAGUUGGUCCAAAUUGGGGUCCAAAAUUAAACUUUGUUUGAUUUCAACAAAAAUUGAAUAUAUGAAGUUCUUUGAUAUGCUGAAUCUAACCAUGUAUUUAGAUUUUUUAUUUGUAGGCCCCGCUAUCAAAUUGGUUCAUAUUGAGGUCAAAAGGGUCCAAAAUUAAACUUUGUUUGAUUUCAUCAAAAAUUGAAUUAUUGGGGUUCUUUGAUAUUCCAAAUCUAACUGUGUAUUUAGAUUUUUAAUUUUAAGUCCCGUUUUUUAAAUUGGUCUACAUUAAGGUCCAAAGGGUCCAAAAUUAAACUUUA